rnacentral:rRNA from 1 species
GACGAACGCUGGCGGCGUGCUUAACACAUGCAAGUCGAACGGAAAGGCCCUGCUUUUGUGGGGUGCUCGAGUGGCGAACGGGUGAGUAACACGUGAGUAACCUGCCCUUGACUUUGGGAUAACUUCAGGAAACUGGGGCUAAUACCGGAUAGGAGCUCCUGCUGCAUGGUGGGGGUUGGAAAGUUUCGGCGGUUGGGGAUGGACUCGCGGCUUAUCAGCUUGUUGGUGGGGUAGUGGCUUACCAAGGCUUUGACGGGUAGCCGGCCUGAGAGGGUGACCGGCCACAUUGGGACUGAGAUACGGCGCAGUCUCCUACGGGAGGCAGCAGUGGGGAAUCUUGCACAACGGGCGGAAGCCUGAUGCAGCAACGCCGCGUGCGGGAUGACGGCCUUCGGGUUGUAAACCGCUUUCGCCUGCGACGAAGCGUGAGUGACGGUAAUGGGUAAAGAAGCACCGGCUAACUACGUG